UAACAGCUUCCUAAACUGGCCUGGCGUCUGGACUCGGCUGUGGGGCGGCCUGUUCUGGCCAAUGGAGCCCGUCUGGAGUAGAUGACGGAGGCGAACUUCUCUUACCGGGGUGGGGUAGGUGGGGUGGGGCGAGGACUGCCAGGCGGACUCGGCUCUGGUUGUCAGGCCGCAACUUAAAAGAGUUUCGUUUUCAGUCCCGUAACUUUCCAACCCUGGAAUUUCAAAAGCAACUUUACAUUCCCGAGUCACCCUUCCAAGCGUGAAAAAAUGGGCGUCCUUGCUGAGACGGCAGGAAAACCGCACUUGCUACCCACCUUCAUGCCUGACCUUUAUAAAAUCCCUGCUCUUAAAACACAGUACGCAAAAAAAAGGGGGUGUGUGGAAUCGGCCCUUUAUUUUUGUUGGUAUUGUCCCAAACAACCCAGUGAACCAAGGGGGAGGAGGAAAGGGAAGUGCUGAUUUACAUCUCCGUCCCUACCCAAGCCAAUCUUUUAAGACCAUAAAAACAGGGCGAAGGGAAACAAAACCAAGCCGGCAGCCAUGGACCCGCUUCAGGCCCUCGCCCCUCUUCCACGCCCCCGCAUCCUUUCCUAGGUCAGUGGGCACAAGGAGCGAUUAGGGGAAGCGAUUGAUCGCCCAUCGCGGGGCUCCCCUUCCCCAUUCAACUGGCGCGGCGUAAUGAAUUCGUCCCUGCGAAAACCUUACAAGGGAUAUCGGAGAUUGACUGGGAGAGGAAGUGACACUUGACCCCUUUCGGAUCCUGCGGCACCAGGGCGGGGAGAGGGAAAGCGAGCGAGCGAGCGAGCGCGCUUUCAAAAUACGAGUCUGCCGGCUGGGAGGUGGGAGCGCCGAUCCUCCCUCCCCCCCCCCCGGGCGUCGGCCAAGCGGGAAAGGCGCUUGCAGCCUGGAGCCGCUUCCUCCCUUGGCCCGGCCGCAAGCGCCUGGGGAGGUGCCAGACAGGGCCUCGGCGGCGGGUGUGGGGGAGAAAGCGGGCAGAGGCACUCUCCGCUGCCGCUGCUGACCCGGAUCGCCACCGACGCCGGGAGGGGCGCCGUCGCUUGCUGCCCGCCCCGUCGGCGCAAGGAGGCGCAUCUCAUGGCCGCCAUCCUCCCGGCCUGGCCGGUGGGAGGCGAACAUUGUUCCGGCUCGCCUGGGCGUGCGCACUUGCCUCCAUUUGCCGCCCCGGCUAAAACUCCUGAAGGGCCCGGCGGUGGCGGUGGCGGUGGCGGAGAAAUCGAAGGCCCAUCCGACCCCUCGAUUCACUUCUCCGCUAUUCCUGGCAGUUGCUCGAACAAAUAAGUGUGUCUCUCCGCCCCACCCCCUUCCACAGCUUGUUAGACGAUCAACCAAAUUCCUAGUUAUAGCUGUUGGAAUGUAAGGUUCAACUCCAACUUGGUGGGUUGAGGCUGCAUGGGGUUAAUAAGGGUAGCUAGAGAGCUAGACCUCUUGCUGGUUGAGGCUAUACCUAUCCCUUUGAUCCUGCCAUCUCUUCCCUUCCUGCUAGGCUGAUAAGCAACAGGAUGAUCCACAUCUUCUCUUUCUCUCUCCUCUCAACCAGGAUGAGGGCCAGCACUGGGACCAGUGCAGGCUGCUCCAGCAUAGCCAGUUAGCUAGAUAUAGAACUCUUUCCUAUCCAGCAUGUACUUCCAGAAUAAAGUAGUUGUUUCUUAUUUUAAA